GACGAACGCUGGCGGCGUGCUUAACACAUGCAAGUCGAACGAAGAGCGAUGGAAGCUUGCUUCUAUCAAUCUUAGUGGCGAACGGGUGAGUAACGCGUAAUCAACCUGCCCUUCAGAGGGGGACAACAGUUGGAAACGACUGCUAAUACCGCAUACGAUCUAAUCUCGGCAUCGAGGAUAGAUGAAAGGUGGCCUCUACAUGUAAGCUAUCACUGAAGGAGGGGAUUGCGUCUGAUUAGCUAGUUGGAGGGGUAAAGGCCCACCAAGGCGAGGAUCAGUAGCAGGUCGGAGAGGAUGGACGGCCACAUUGGGACUGAGACACGCCCCAGACGCAUUCGGGAGGCAGCAGGGCGGCAUCUGGCGGAAUGGACGAAGGUCUGACGGAGAAAGGCGGCGUGAGGGAUGACGGACGUCGGGUUGUAAAUCACGGUUAAUCGGGACGAAAGGGCUUCUGGCUAAGAGUGAGAAGGAUUGACGGUACCGGAUUAGAAAGCCACGGCUAACUACGUG
rnacentral:rRNA from 1 species